AGGACGGGCUGAGGGAUCGCCGCCGGGAGUCCGCAGGGCUCGCCGGACGGAGGAAAGUCCGAGCUCCGCAAGGCAGGGUGCCGGGUAACGCCCGGGCGCCGCGAGGCGACGGAAAGUGCCACAGAGAGCAGACCGCCGAUGGCCCGUCAGGGCACAGGCAAGGGUGAAAGGGUGCGGUAAGAGCGCACCGGGCCGCUGGCAACA
rnacentral:RNase_P_RNA from 1 species